rnacentral:rRNA from 1 species
AAUCAACGCUGGCGGCGUGCCUAACACAUGCAAGUCGCACGAGAAAGGGACUUCGGUCCUGAGUACAGUGGCGCACGGGUGAGUAACACGUGAAUCAUCUACCUUCGAGUGGGGAAUAACUGAGAGAAAUCUUAGCUAAUACCGCAUAAUACCUAUGGGUCAAAGCAGCAAUGCGCUUGAAGAGGAGUUCGCGGCAGAUUAGUUAGUUGGCAGGGAAUGGCCUACCAAGACGAUGAUCCGUAUCCGGCCUGAGAGGGCGCACGGACACACUGGAACUGAACACGGUCCAGACUCCUACGGGAGGCAGCAGUGGGGAAUUUUGCGCAAUGGGGGAAACCCUGACGCAGCAACGCCGCGUGGAGGAUGAAAUCCCUUGGGAUGUAAACUCCUUUCGAUCGGGAAGAUAAUGACGGUACCGAGAGAAGAAGCCCCGGCUAACUUCGUGCCAGCAGCCGCUGUAAG